GACGUAGGGCGCGAGCGUUGUCCGGAUUUAUUGGGCGUAAAGAGCUCGUAGGUGGCUUGUCACGUCGGGUGUGAAAGCUUGGGGCUUAACUCCAGGUCUGCAUUCGAUACGGGCAGGCUAGAGUUCGGUAGGGGAGACUGGAAUUCCUGGUGUAGCGGUGAAAUGCGCAGAUAUCAGGAGGAACACCGGUGGCGAAGGCGGGUCUCUGGGCCGAUACUGACGCUGAGGAGCGAAAGCGUGGGGAGCGAACAGG
rnacentral:rRNA from 1 species